CACCGUAAGAAAGUAAAUCAAAAAGACAACAAAAAUGGUGACUUUAAUUAAAUCAUUUUUUCUGGUAAAAAAAGGUCAUCCGUGUUUUUAUAAAAUAAUGAAAUCGUAAAAUUGAGCGUUUUUAUGUUUUUCCCACUUUCAUUUAAAAAAUGACCUCUCUAAAGUACAAUCUAGACAACUUGAGCUUUCAUAAAAGUUGUUACACAUAAAAAUCGGAGUGAGUUUACUAGGAAAAAACGUGUCCACAGACUAGAACAAAGAAGAAGAAGAAAUAAACAGUAUUGUAAAACCAAUAGCUCCC